ensembl:piRNA 21ur-14165 ncRNA
UUGUAUCUGAUUUGUGCCUAC